GACGAACGCUGGCGGCGUGCCUAAUACAUGCAAGUCGAGCGGACCAAAGAGAGCUUGCUCUUUGAGGUUAGCGGCGGACGGGUGAGUAACACGUGGGCAACCUGCCUGUAAGCUUGGGAUAACUCCGGGAAACCGGUGCUAAUACCGAAUACAACAAGGGACCACAUGGUCCUUUGUACAAAGACCUUGUGUCACUUACAGAUGGGCCCGCGGCGCAUUAGCUUGUUGGUGGGGUAACGGCCUACCAAGGCGACGAUGCGUAGCCGACCUGAGAGGGUGGUCGGCCACACUGGGACUGAGACACGGCCCAGACUGCUACGGGAGGCAGCAGUAGGGAAUCUUCCGCGAUGGACGAAAGUCUGACGGAGCAACGCCGCGUGAGCGAUGAAGGUUUUCGGAUCGUAAAGCUCUGAUGUCAGGGAAGAACCGCCGGGAUGACCUCCCGGUCUGACGGUACCUGACGAGAAAGCCCCGGCUAACUACGUGCCAGCCGCCGCGGUAACAC
rnacentral:rRNA from 1 species